rnacentral:rRNA from 1 species
CCUACGGGUGGCAGCAGUGGGGGAUAUUGCACAAUGGGGGAUACCCUGAUGCAGCGACGCCGCGUGGGUGAAGAAGCGCCUCGGCGCGUAAAGCCCUGUCAGCAGGGAAGAAAACGACGGUACCUGAAGAAGAAGCCCCGGCUAACUACGUGCCAGCAGCCGCGGUAAUACGUAGGGGGCAGGCGUUAUCCGGAUUUACUGGGUGUAAAGGGGGCGCAGACGGCGAUGCAAGCCAGGAGUGAAAGCCCGGGGCCCAACCCCGGGACUGCUCUUGGAACUGCGUGGCUAGAGUGCAGGAGGGGCAGGCGGAAUUCCUGGUGUAGCGGUGAAAUGCGUAGAUAUCAGGAGGAACACCGGUGGCGAAGGCGGCCUGCUGGACUGCAACUGACGUUGAGGCCCGAAAGCGUGGGGAGCAAACAGGAUUUGAUACCCUAGUAGUC